rnacentral:lncRNA from 1 species
CAGGAAUUGCCUCUCUGACCAACAGUUACUGUAAAUCUUGUGCCAUUUGUGCCAAGGGCAACUCAGGAAGAAUGGAGGAAAGCCCCAAGCAUCUAGCCAAACCUCAUUAUCUCUUCCAGAGGAGUCAAGUUGACUACAUCCAGAAUGCCAAAGAGUGGCUGAUUCAAAUAUGCACUAAUUAUAGCAGACAUGUUUUCAGGAUAGCCAGAGGCCUAUCCAGCCACCAAAGUGAUAACCAAGACCACAUGCUGAGUAGUGCACCGUGAAAGUUACAGAGAUCACCCCGUGGAUUCAUCAUUCCAGAAUCAAGCCUGCCUCUGCAUCAUGUGAAGUAGCAUUUGUUGAUCUUGACAACCCUUUUUGAAACUCCAUUCUUAG